rnacentral:rRNA from 1 species
CAGGUGGUCAGGUAGAGAAUACCAAGGCGCUUGAGAGAACUCGGGUGAAGGAACUAGGCAAAAUGGUGCCGUAACUUCGGGAGAAGGCACGCUGGUGUGUAGGUGAAGUCCCUGCGGAUGGAGCUGAGACCAGUCGAAGAUACCAGCUGGCUGCAACUGUUUAUUAAAAACACAGCACUGUGCAAACACGAAAGUGGACGUAUACGGUGUGACGCCUGCCCGGUGCCGGAAGGUUAAUUGAUGGGGUUAUCCGUAAGGAGAAGCUCUUGAUCGAAGCCCCGGUAAACGGCGGCCGUAACUAUAACGGUCCUAAGGUAGCGAAAUUCCUUGUCGGGUAAGUUCCGACCUGCACGAAUGGCGUAAUGAUGGCCAGGCUGUCUCCACCCGAGACUCAGUGAAAUUGAACUCGCUGUGAAGAUGCAGUGUACCCGCGGCAAGACGGAAAGACCCCGUGAACCUUUACUAUAGCUUGACACUGAACAUUGAGCCUUGAUGUGUAGGAUAGGUGGGAGGCUUUGAAGCGUGGACGCCAGUCUGCGUGGAGCCAACCUUGAAAUACCACCCUUUAAUGUUUGAUGUUCUAACGUUGGCCCCUUACCGGGGUUGCGGACAGUGUCUGGUGGGUAGUUUGACUGGGGCGGUCUCCUCCCAAAGCGUAACGGAGGAGCACGAAGGUUAGCUAAUCCUGGUCGGACAUCAGGAGGUUAGUGCAAUGGCAUAAGCUAGCUUGACUGCGAGCGUGACGGCGCGAGCAGGUGCGAAAGCAGGUCAUAGUGAUCCGGUGGUUCUGAAUGGAAGGGCCAUCGCUCAACGGAUAAAAGGUACUCCGGGGAUAACAGGCUGAUACCGCCCAAGAGUUCAUAUCGACGGCGGUGUUUGGCACCUCGAUGUCGGCUCAUCACAUCCUGGGGCUGAAGUAGGUCCCAAGGGUAUGGCUGUUCGCCAUUUAAAGUGGUACGCGAGCUGGGUUUAGAACGUCGUGAGACAGUUCGGUCCCUAUCUGCCGUGGGCGCUGGAGAAUUGAGGGGGGCUGCUCCUAGUACGAGAGGACCGGAGUGGACGCAUCACUGGUGUUCGGGUUGUCAUGCCAAUGGCACUGCCCGGUAGCUAAAUGCGGAAGAGAUAAGUGCUGAAAGCAUCUAAGCACGAAACUUGCCCCGAGAUGAGUUCUCCCUGAGACUUUAAGUCUCCUGAAGGAACGUUGAAGACGACGACGUUGAUAGGCCGGGUGUGUAAGCGCAGCGAUGCGUUGAGCUAACCGGUACUAAUGAACCGUGAGGCUUAACCUU